rnacentral:rRNA from 1 species
CCCCGGGGGGAUACCUUAGUACGGCGAGUGAAGCGGUAAAAGCUCAAAUUUGAAAUCUGGUACUUUCAGUGCCCGAGUUGUAAUUUGUAGAAUUUGUCUUUGAUUAGGUCCUUGUCUAUGUUCCUUGGAACAGGACGUCAUAGAGGGUGAGAAUCCCGUUUGGCGAGGAUACCUUUUCUCUGUAAGACUUUUUCGAAGAGUCGAGUUGUUUGGGAAUGCAGCUCAAAGUGGGUGGUAAAUUCCAUCUAAAGCUAAAUAUUGGCGAGAGACCGAUAGCGAACAAGUACAGUGAUGGAAAGAUGAAAAGAACUUUGAAAAGAGAGUGAAAAAGUACGUGAAAUUGUUGAAAGGGAAGGGCAUUUGAUCAGACAUGGUGUUUUUUGCAUGCACUCGCCUCUCGUGGGCUUGGGCCUCUCAAAAAUUUCACUGGGCCAACAUCAAUUCUGGCAGCAGGAUAAAUCAUUAAGAAUGUAGCUACUUCGGUAGUGUUAUAGCUUUUUGGAAUACUGUUAGCCGGGAUUGAGGACUGCGCUUCGGCAAGGAUGUUGGCAUAAUGGUUAAAUGCCGCCCGUCUUGAACCACCGGGACCA